rnacentral:rRNA from 1 species
UACGAAUAAGGAUCGGCUAACUCCGUGCCAGCAGCCGCGGUAAUACGGAGGAUCCGAGCGUUAUCCGGAUUUAUUGGGUUUAAAGGGAGCGUAGGCGGACGCUUAAGUCAGUUGUGAAAGUUUGCGGCUCAACCGUAAAAUUGCAGUUGAUACUGGGUGUCUUGAGUACAGUAGAGGCAGGCGGAAUUCGUGGUGUAGCGGUGAAAUGCUUAGAUAUCACGAAGAACUCCGAUUGCGAAGGCAGCCUGCUGGACUGUAACUGACGCUGAUGCUCGAAAGUGUGGGUAUCAAACAGGAUUAGAUACCCUGGUAGUCCACACAGUAAACGAUGAAUACUCGCUGUUUGCGAUAUACAGUAAGCGGCCAAGCGAAAGCGUUAAGUAUUCCACCUGGGGAGUACGCCGGCAACGGUGAAACUCAAAGGAAUUGACGGGGGCCCGCACAAGCGGAGGAACAUGUGGUUUAAUUCGAUGAUACGCGAGGAACCUUACCCGGGCUUGAAUUGCAACUGAAUGAUGUGGAGACAUGUCAGCCGCAAGGCAGUUGUGAAGGUGCUGCAUGGUUGUCGUCAGCUCGUGCCGUGAGGUGUCGGCUUAAGUGCCAUAACGAGCGCAACCCUUAUCGAUAGUUACCAUCAGGUGAUGCUGGGGACUCUGUCGAGACUGCCGUCGUAAGAUGUGAGGAAGGUGGGGAUGACGUCAAAUCAGCACGGCCCUUACGUCCGGGGCUACACACGUGUUACAAUGGGGGGUACAGAAGGCAGCUACACGGCGACGUGAUGCUAAUCCCUAAAGCCUCUCUCAGUUCGGAUUGGAGUCUGCAACCCGACUCCAUGAAGCUGGAUUCGCUAGUAAUCGCGCAUCAGCCACGGCGCGGUGAAUACGUUCCCGGGCCUUGUACACACCGCCCGUCAAGCCAUGAAAGCCGGGGGUACCUGAAGUGCGUAACCGCAAGGAGCGCCCUAGGGUAAAACUGGUGAUUGGGGCUAAGUCGUAACAAGGUAGCCGUACCGGAAGGUGCGGCUG